CCAUCACACACACACACACAAUCACACACAAUGCACCCCUUACACACAAAGACAAUGAACCCCUUGCACACAGAAAAACACACAAUGCAUUACACACACACACGCAAUGCAACCCUUACACACAAUGCAUCCCUUGCACACACAGAAACACACAAUGCAUUCCUUACACACACUCAAUGCACCCCUUACAGACUCACACACUUCAUUCCUUACAUACACAGAAACACACCUUGCAGCCCUUACACAUACAAACACAGAUUCACAAAAUGCAUUCCUUACACACAAAUCAGGACAUUCCCUACACACUCCAUCCCCUGUGAACAAACUCAUUGGUGG